rnacentral:rRNA from 1 species
GUCGACCUCGGAUCAGGUAAGAUUACCCGCUGAACUUAAGCAUAUCAA